ACAAAACCACAAAUUUUUUUUUUUUUGUUAUUACGGCAGUGUCUGAUCUUAGUGAUGCGAGUCUCAGUCUCUGAUUUUGAUUAAAUCAAACCACCGAUGAUUGUUCACAAGAUUUACUUUGAUGCCUCUAAUUAAGUCUUUUACUUGUUUGGUUUUUGCUUUAAAAGUAGCUGCUCAUCAAAUCAAUCCAUUGAGGAGGAGAACUAGUUCAGAUUUUCCACAUGGAGUUUCCCCAAAAUUUAACUUCUUUGGGUCUGUAAACUGUUGCAUGCUUCUCUCCAUGAUGUCAGCUGAGGUCGUUGGCCAUAAAUAUGGAUCCUGAUUGGAGUGUUAAUCUCUUGCUAUCAUUACAGAGUGGAAACAGAGGCUUGACUGCAUGGGAUCAUUGUCUCUUGUUUAUUGCAUUAGUGGUGAUGCUAAAGAUGGAAUUGUCUAUUAUCAUAUAAUUUGAUAAAGAUGCAGCAGAGGACCGCGAGAGAGAGAGAGAGAGAGAGAGAGAGAGAGAGAGAGAGAGAUUCAUGUUAAAAUAUGGCUUGGAGAACAACGCAGCAGGUCGCCCGCUACUACUAUCUUCUCUCUAGGUGUCACUACGAUCCCAAAUCCCAAGAGGCUAUCAAGAUUUCUCUUGACCUCCAGAAGUUCGUUUCUUAUUGACAACAGUCUUCCUGAUGUGUAUGUCACAACUCAUCUUCUGUCUUAUCAUCGAUUCAAUUUUACUUGCUUUCGUUGUGUCUGCUUUGUUUUGUCUUUGCUGGGUCGUCUCAGUCUGCUCAGUCUGAUUUUGGAAACCAAGCUAAUUAUUUGUUUAAGCUUGCUGCUUAUGGCGCGACGUGGUUCUGGAGAAAGGUACAUUUGAUCAUUAUAGCAUGAUGACAAAGUCUCAGUCUGAUUUUGGAAACCAAUUAUUUGUUUUAAGCUUGCUUAUGGCUUGACGUGGUUACAUAUGGGGAAGAGUACAUUACUUAAUCAUUACAACAUGAUGACACUACAUAUUAUUUAAUCUUUUCUCACUGUUAAUAUUUUUCAUGUUAGAAUAUAUCUUGGAGACAACACAGCAGAUCGCUACUUACUAUGUUCCCUCUCGAUGUCUAGUUUACAGAUUUCAUCAUCAAAGAGAGUGCCUCUUGUCACGCCUGUUUGCGGAACAGCUUCUGUUGGCAAGUCCACUAGUAGCUACACAACUUGCUCAGAGACUAAACUUGCCAAAUGUCUUACAGACGGACAUGGCAUAUGAGCUUCUUCGAACAGAAACUGAGUACGUUAUUCUCCUUUUUAAUGAUGGACAUACUAUGAAGUUCCCUUUGGAGUUGGACUUUGCUUUCCUUACAUGAGCAAUAGUAACCAAGAUUCCCAAUUUCUACAAAAAUACCAUCUUUCUGCCAUUGUGGAGCAUCUUGGGAAUAUAUAUAGCAUUUUUUGCUCAUUACUCCUUUUAUGCGAGGGAAGUCUGGUGCCAAAGAAGUCAACUUUCCCUUCUGGUACUAAAGCGCCUGCGGAUCAUGUUCACAGCAAGGGCCUUAAGCUCUGGAUUUACUCAGAUGCCGGCACCAUGCCAGGUUCUUUAAGCCAUGAGGAGCAUGAUGCCAAUACCUUUACAGAAUGGGUUGGGAGUGCACUUUCGGAUCCAUAUCUUCCAUCUGCAGCUGCAUUAAAUGGUUUAGCUGGGCCACUCCAUGGUUAGGCUAAUCAGGAAGUUCUGCUGCUGUGGAUCAGAUCAGUUGUCACAAUUGCCAAAAAAUGUGUUUUGAAAGCAAGUUUGUUAUCUGAUCAUCGCUCCCCCGGCCUCUGAAUUCAUACUUGUGGAAUUGUUCAUCUAGGGUUGUUUUACAUUUGCUUGGAGAAGGUCCUGAGGCAACUCACCCCUGCUAAUUGCAAAUUUCAUAUCGUACUAGCUGGAGCUCUAAAGGUUAUCAAAUUAAUCGACAGGAGGUUACCCCAAUAACUUCUUUGAGUAAGUUUAUAUCUAGCUAUAUAUGAGAGUCUCAUAAGACCAAUGUUGCAUAUGAGACCAAUGUUGUUACCCCCAAUAACUUCUUUGAGUCUGUAGUGUUGCAUAUGAGUGGAGUGAAGUAAGUUCUGAAAGACACAAGGAUGCUCACACAUUUUUUGCUAGUUCUCUGAUGUUUAAUCCUUUGUAACAGUUGCUCAAUCCCACAGAAUUAUUUUGCUAAUCUUGUGGCUGAGCGUGAGUUUGUGGAAUGUACCUCCUCUGUUCCCGCAAGCUUUGGUUCUGUUCAAGCAACUCUAUCCGGACCACACGACAAAAGAGAUGGAGAUUUCCCACAACAGGAAACUGUAGGAGUGUUCAUGGAAAAACUGCUUGAUACACUAAGCUACUCACAGAUAAACAUUCCCAAUGUGGGCACUUGCUUGUUGCUGAGUACCGAAGAGCUGCGUUCGUUACUCAUCCGGGAAAUAGUCAUCAGACAGUUACAAAAUUGCAAACCUUUUUCAAAAAAAAAAAAAAAAAAAAAAAA